AGACGGUAUCUUAACUACUACUAGUGAAAACUAGUCUAAGGCAGUGAGGUGUUCCUUUGGCUCUGGUGAUCACAUAGCUUCUACGUGGCCUCUGUGAACGAGGAUGAAAAUUUUCACCAUUCAGCAGUUUCGGUCGCACGUCGAGAGGUUUGAUCAAGAUGACAGUUAAAACAGACUCAGCGAGAGGUAACUACGGAGGGAGUUGUCG